AAUUCUUACCCGGCCACUCCAGCCACCCUUUAGGAUCAAUAUGACAUCCAAUGCAAGACUCCAUGUAUACCGUCCUCGAGUAUUUCCUCCACGGCCUCCCAAGAUAUGUCAAGGUCGCUCCAAGAUCAUGCGCCGCCAUAAUCCGACAAUUCUGAAUUGAUGUCCCCGUGUUUUGAUUCGGAUCAGUCCUCCCUUGUGCUGUCACUACGUCCUGCUGGCCGUGCAACGGUUUUCUUGCAGUGAGGAUGCAGUUUUGUAAGACAACAGCUGCGUUGCCGAAGAUGAAGUCGAUGGUGCCGGAGACGUUGCAGUCACGGUAGAAUUGUCGUAGGGAGUGGGGGUAAAGGGUGUCUUGGUACGCCUCGAUGUUGCAGCGGUUGAUGACGGAACGGUCGGCCCCGACACGGAGAGCCACAGCUUGAUGUCUCACUGCUCCGGCUGUGUUUUGGAUUGUAAGGUCUUGAAGGAUGAAGUCAGCACCCACUGCAGCCAUGGUAGCGGACUGGAAGGUGGAGUUAGCAUCCUCGUAGUUGAGGUUUCCGGUGAUCACUGUCGACGUCGUACCAUCGCCCACCACCAUUAUGUUUCUUUUAUUCUUCCCUAUUCUCACAGUCUCGUUGUACACCCCCUUCUUCACAUAAAUC
rnacentral:misc_RNA from 1 species